rnacentral:rRNA from 1 species
AGACGGGUGGGCAUGCUUACGAUGCGCGUCGAACGGUGCAAGAAGGAGCUUGCUCCUUCGGAUCAGUGGCGAACGGGUGAGUAACACGUGAGCAACCUGCCCCGGACUCUGGGAUAACAGCUGGAAACAGCUGCUAAUACUGGAUACGAGCUGCGAAGGCAUCUUCAGCAGCUGGAAAGAACUUCGGUCUGGGAUGGGCUCGCGGCCUAUCAGCUAGUUGGUGAGGUAAUGGCUCACCAAGGCGUCGACGGGUAGCCGGCCUGAGAGGGUGACCGGCCACACUGGGACUGAGACACGGCCCAGACUCCUACGGGAGGCAGCAGUGGGGAAUAUUGCACAAUGGGCGCAAGCCUGAUGCAGCAACGCCGCGUGAGGGACGACGGCCUUCGGGUUGUAAACCUCUUUUAGCAGGGAAGAAGCGAAAGUGACGGUACCUGCAGAAAAAGCACCGGCUAACUACGUGCCAGCAGCCGCGGUAAUACGUAGGGUGCAAGCGUUAUCCGGAAUUAUUGGGCGUAAAGAGCUCGUAGGCGGUUUGUCGCGUCUGCUGUGAAAACCCGAGGCUCAACCUCGGGCCUGCAGUGGGUACGGGCAGACUAGAGUGCGGUAGGGGAGAUUGGAAUUCCUGGUGUAGCGGUGGAAUGCGCAGA